UAGGCUGCAACUCGCCUACACGAAGCUGGAAUCGCUAGUAAUCGCGGAUCAGCACGCCGCGGUGAAUACGUUCCCGGGCCUUGUACACACCGCCCGUCACACCAUGAGAGUCUGUAACGCCCAAAGCCGGUGGGAUAACCUUUAUAGGAGUCAGCCGUCUAAGGUAGGACAGAUGAUUAGGGUGAAGUCGUAACAAGGUAAC
rnacentral:rRNA from 1 species